rnacentral:sRNA from 1 species
GCCUAGCCCCGAUGGCAGUGGAAAUCCUUUGUUGCCGGGGUUCGGCAAUAAAGAUUGUAACGAACAGCGGGACAACUC